UACGUAGGGUGCGAGCGUUAAUCGGAAUUACUGGGCGUAAAGCGUGCGCAGGCGGUUCGCUGUGUCCUGUGUGAAAGCCCCGGGCUUAACCUGGGAAUGGCAUGGGAAACUGGCGGGCUGGAGUGUGGCAGAGGGGGGUGGAAUUCCGCGUGUAGCAGUGAAAUGCGUAGAGAUGCGGAGGAACACCGAUGGCGAAGGCAGCCCCCCUGGGCUAACACUGACGCUCAGGUGCGAAAGCCAGGGGAGCGAACGGG
rnacentral:rRNA from 1 species